CAGAAAGUUCUCCGGGCUCCGCGCAGCCGCUCGCAUCCAUGAGUCGGGCCGGGAUGUCGUUCCUGCCGCCGUCUUCACGGCCGGACGCGCCUGGCCCGGGCCUCAGAACCGCCGCCCGGCCGCCAACCCUCAGACGGGCAGACGUGGGGGGACCGUGUGGCCCAGCAGUUCUCCUCCCGGGUGGAAAUGGAGAAAAACCCUGAAAACCUGUGUCCACACGAGAAGCUGUUCAUACGCGUCCACAGCAGCGGGAUUCACGACGGGCAGAAGGUGGACACGACCCCGGUGCCCAUGGAUGGACGGCCGUGUCCACCCACACGCGUGUCCACACACAUGUCCACCCACACGCGUGUCUGUCCACACGCAUGUCUACGCAGACAGACGUAGGCUGCAGGCGUCAGUCUAGACACAGACACUGAAUCUGUAACUGGGGUGGUGCCAACAGUUCCCACGUGUUCCUAAAAGUUACUAAGCAUCUUUGUACGAAAUCCACACGGACCCAGAACCAAGGGCGAACCUCGCGGCGCGUUCCACAGGUUCCCACUGUUCCUCGUCCGCGCUCUUUGCUUCCAGACGCUUUCCACGUCUGUCUUCAACCCCGGAAUCCGCGGGUGACACAGUCACUGUCGACUUUUCUCAGGUGACCUCGUGCUCCCCGCGGUUCCACAUCUUCCAUCUUUGGGUUUUUUUUUUUUUUUUUUUUUUUUUUUUUGCUGAGGAAGACUGGCCCUGAGCCAACAUCUGUGCCCAUCUUCCUCUACUUUCUACGUGGGACGCCUACCACAGCAUGGCUGCCAAGCGGUGCCAUGUCCGCACCCGGGAUCUGAACCAAUGAACCCUGGGCCGCCAAAGCAGAACAUGCGAACUUAACCGCUGCGCCACUGGGCUGGCCCCAAAACCACCUCCGUCUCCCAGGCUUGUGUGGGAAAAGGUUUAAGAGUCGAGUGGAGGGCAGAGGAGAAGCAGCCACGCGUCUGGGAUGCUGUGACGCCAACCAAGUCAUUAGGUUUUAUUUUCGUAGCUUCAGCCCAUUGCCCAAAGCGAGCGCACUCCCCGCUCAGCAGGUUCCCGUUUCCCCCAAGUUUACGUCCUGAAACUUCCCGGGUGGCGUCAUCAUUUCUUCUGAAACGUCACUUUCUAAAAAUCGUGAUAAAACCCAACACACAACCCGCCCUUUCAAGCCCCUUCCCUGCCCAGCUCGGCGGCACCAGCACCUCCCCGGUCUGGGGCGCGCGGCCCACCCGCCCGGACGGACGGAUGGACGGACAGACAGACAGACGGAUGCCCCCGGAACGCCGUCUGAAGCGGGAGGAGGCUCGGCUGCUCCUAGCUGCUCGGGUCGCGGGGCACAGGCGCCUGCGGGCGUUUCCGGCGGCCCCAACCCCGCAUUCCAGGCGAGCCGGGAGCCCCUCCCCGCCCAGCUGGCCGUGACCCGACCCGCCGACGCCCCGGGCCCAGCAGAGCCGGACAAACGAGAAAACCCCAGAAAGGCCGCGGCCACCGCCGUUUGUCUUUCCCGGAAGCCCGGCGUCGUUAUUCUUUAGAGAAACGCACAGACAGCCCCCCGCCCGCCCCAGGCUCCUCUGUCGCCAACAGGCUCUGAAUUCCCGGGGCGUCGUCCCCGGCGGAAAGUUCUAGAAUGAGGUGGGCGCCCUGCGCAGGCCCCGCCCCUUGUUUGCUGGGCGACUUCCGUUCUCCGAAGAUAAACUGGGUCCAACAACGAAAACAGACCCACCAGGACUCGCGCUCUCUCCAAAGCCGGCCUCUGGGCUCCGGAAUGUUCUGUGUCAUUUCCACAUAUUGUGCGAGGUUCCGGUGGGGACGUGGGGACACGGCCGGGCCAAGGCUCCCGCCAGCCCGCGGCCUUCGCGCCGAUUUCCCCCUGUGAACCUCUCGUCUCCGGAACCUUCCAUGGCGGUUCCUUUCCGACCCGGGCCUGGAAGGAUUCCAACCGCGAGGGCCUCCCCCCACGCCAAGACCCCGGAGGCCCCACCCGGAGGGACGGGCACAUUCCGUGCGUUCCUGCCUCCUGCCCGGUGUUUGUUUGUUGCUUUUAAAUCAGCCGCCCCGGGAGUCCUGUUCCCUCUGGAUUCUGCUGGCCGCCAGCCUCCGGGGACUUUGAGCAAGUCCUGGGAGCCAGGGAACAUUCCAGCGCCGCCCAGGCCGUCCCCCCGGAGACCCUGCACUGUGGGGGGCGUGCGCCUGAGGGUCCGGCCGGCCUGCGAGACCCCACGGGCACCCCGGCCCGUCAGAACGUCUACCUUCCCGCUGAGGAGGAAGGGGAUGGGGAUUUCGGUGGCCUGCAGGUCAGGCUGGCUCCAGCUGCACAUGAGGCCCUGCCCUGGGGGAGGGGAAAGAACGGGGGACCGGGCAAGACUGUGAAGAGCUGGGCUUUGCUGGGAGGAAACCGAGGGGGUCAAAGUCCCCCCCAGGUCCUUGCUGGAUUUGCCCCCGCAGCCCCUGACCGUUGUCACCCAGAGUCCACAUUUCUGUCCCCAGUGUCAGGCACACAGUGGGACCUCGGAGGUGGACAGGCCAGCCCUGUGGACACAGUUUUGUCUGAACGCCUGGCUUUGGUCAUUCGGGUGUAGACGGCGGAGCUGUGGGUGCUGGUGGUGCCUUCCGUCCGGUUGGGGAGGACCCGCCCUUUUCCGCAGCUUCGGCCCCGUUUACCUUGUUCCCACCGUGACCAGGAUUCUUCCCCCGUGUGGACGGAGCCUGGAGCACGGGGUUGGGACCCGCCCUGUGGCCGGGCCGGGUGCGCGUCAGACCGCAGGGCGUGUGCUUGUCGGUGGAGAGCUGGGCGCGCAGGAGGGAGAGCCGGAAACCUGGGCAAGUUCGGGCAGCCCCGCGGUGAGUUACCACGUUGGACUCACGGCUGGAAAAACCUGCCGGGGGUGCUUGGGGCCCCGCUUCCCUGAGUCGGUGCCACUGUCCCUGAGGAGCGAGGACCAGGCAGCCAUGAGUGUCCACCUGCGGCCGCCCCGGUGGCUCCUUUCCAGCAUUUUCUGCCUGGAGGAGAGGAGGAGCUGGCGGGGAGGCCCGUGCUGGGACUGCAGGAGCACUGGCAGCCUCUUUGGCCCUCUCCUCCAGGCCUCCCUGCAGCUGGGGAAACUGAGGCCCAGGGUCAGUCUCCAAGGUCACUCAGCUCGGAGAUGCUGCUUCUCGAAUCGAGAUCUGCCCGACCCCGACCUCCAGCCACCGUCGGGGUCAGACGUGGGCACAACGGGAGCCGGGAGGCCGCCGUCCCCGCCUUCACAGGAUCCCUGCUGGUCACACGGGGAGCAGCCGAGAUGCGCUGCGGUGGAGGACGGACAGACGGACUGCGGUCCGUCCAGACCACGGAAUGUCACUCAGCGAGAAAGAGAAACGAGCCUAACGCCACGGGAAGACGCGGAGGAGCCUUCAACGCACGUGAGGAAGCGAAGGGAGCCGGUCGGAGGAGGUUAGACAUGCGCGAUUCCAACCACAGGACCCUCUGGAAACGGAGACACCCGUGGGCCCAGGCGUUGAGGGGGACGAACACCGGGGCCGGUGAGGACGCGGAGAAGGCGAAGCCUGUGCCCGGCUGGUGGGAACGUGCGCUGGGGCGGGCGACGUGGAAAACAGGGUGGGAGAUUCCUCAAAACGUUAAAGAUGGGAAUACCGUACCGUCUGGCAGGCCCGCUUCUGGGUAUUUAUCCAGAGAGACAGAAUUCGGACAGACGCGUGCGCCCCGUGUCCACUGCAGCGCUACUCACGACAGCAAGACGUGCAAACAGCCCAAGUGCCCAUCGAGGGGGAUUCGAGCGGAUAAAGACGUGGUGGUUGUGCACAGCGGAAUACUACGCAGCCAGGAACAAGACCGAAACCCUCCCAUUUCCCGCAACAUGGACCAACCUGCAGGGCGUGAUGCUCAGUGAAAUGAGUCGGACAGAGAAAGACAAAUUCCGCCCCGUCUGCCUUACGUGUGGAAUCUAAGAACUUGAGCUCAUGGGGCCAGAGAGGAGAACGGUGUCACCAGGGCUGCGGACGGGGAGACGGGAGACGUGGUCGCAGGCACGACCUUCCGGUUAUAAGAAAACAGUUCUGCGGCCUGAUGCACAGGCUCGAGGCCUGUACCUGGUGCUUGAAACGUGCCGGGAGCAGAUCUUCCGUGUUCUCCCCCCGAGAAACAGGUCCCGCGUGGGGCUCGGGUGCGUGUGCACCGGCUUCGUCGUGGGGGCCACGUCACAACGUUUACACACGCUGAACCAUCACGUUCCACCUCACAUACAGACGGCGUUAUCUGUCAGUCACAGCUCGAUAAAGCUGGGGAAAAGUGUGGAAAAAUAAGAGUGUUUGCUCCCAGAGAGAAGGAUGGUGGGAACGAGUUGGAGCAGACACGUCUUUACACCCUCUGUGCGUGAAAAUGAAUUUGUGCCCAAAAUUAGUAAAGGCGUGUUUUUAAAUUAUGCAGAAAAAAUAAAUUAUGCAAUUCAGUGGUUUCUGGUAUAUUCUUUCUUUUUUUUUUUUUUUUUUUUUGCUGAGGAAGACUGGCCCUGAGCUCACAUCCGUGCCCAUCUUCCUCUAUUUUAUAUGUGGGGCGCCUACCACAGCAUGGCUUGACAAGCAGUGCCAUGUCUGCACCCGGAACCCGAACCAGCGAACCCCGGGGCACAAGCAGGUGGGGACUCAGUUUCCCGGCUCCCCAGGCGCCUCCCCCUCCUCACGUCCCCUCUUGGCCCCGUCGCAGCCGCCAAGUCAGGGUCUCCCCCUCCAUCUCAGGUGGACAGACUGAGGCUGCAAGGACGCCCUGCCCUUUGGGGUCAGGGCCUCCCCGGGGUCAGAGGAUGAGAGGCAGGAGGGGUCCAGGCCGACCGGGUCCCCCGGGACUCAGUUCCCCGAACUCUGGGCAGCUCGGCGUCGAUGCCACACGAAGGGGGCACCCGCGUCCCGUCGUUGGCUCCUGGCCGGGUGGCGAGUGACGCUCUGGGAUCAGGUGGCCAACGCACCUCUGCAGCCCCCGUUCCUUGGCCACAAGCAGAUCCGUCAGCUCCUGGAGCCUCAGUUUCCCCACUCUGUCGUCACACGGGUCAGGCCAUCACUGACUGCCACACACCGUCUCGCGUGGCUUUGAUGCCCCGGCCUCCUCCGGGUUCUGACGCAGCUUCCCCUCCCCUC
rnacentral:lncRNA from 1 species